rnacentral:rRNA from 1 species
UAUUAUUUUUGAUGUUAAUUAUUUAACCUGAGUAGUAAUAGAUAUGAUCUUGAAACUUAAAGAAUUUGGCAGUAUUUUAUUCUGUUUAGAGGAACCUGUUCUUUUAUCGAUAAUCCUCGUUGGACCUUACUUAAUUUAUUGAUUUGUAUACCGCCGUUGUAUUGAGAGUCUUUUUAGUGUUUUUAAUUUUCUGGAUUUUAUUUUAAAUUAUUUCAGGUCAAGGUGCAAUUUAUGGUUAAGUAGAAAUGGGUUACGUUUAUAUUUAUUUUUGGAUUAUUGAAUGAAAUUUUAAUAUGAAAUUGGAUUUGAAUGUAAUUAUUAUUUUAGAUUGUAGUAAUGAUUUAGUUUCUGGAGUGUGUACACAUCGCCCGUCACUCUCGUUAUUUAUUCGAG